AUCUAAGCCAGGACUCAGGACAAACCUGUGACCAAGAAGAUGAAGUAGGAGUUGGAGGUGGUGAUGGUGGGGGAAGGGGAGUCAUUCUGGUGGUGCUCCUUUAAGCUAGAGGUUUGCUUGGGUGGAACAGUAUCCAGCACAAAGGAAGAGGUAUAAUGGGCACUGCCACUGGUCAGAUUGGGAAACUUGUCAGGACAGAGGACUUCUUGGAGUCCCUUACAUCACCCUGCUGGAUCUCAAAGAAGAAUGAAAGCCUUUGACUCUGGGCUGUUUUGAUUCCCCACUCCACCACUGCCUGCCUGAACAUCAUGGGGACACGAGGACAUCCUCUGGGCACUGAGGAAGGAAAACUGAAAGAGGCUGGGGACCAACCGAGAAAACCAAAGCCCGUGAAGAGGAAGUGCUGGCCGCUGCUCUGUCUGACCCGCUAACAUGGCCUUUGGUCAGGCCUGUAUCAGCUUCUCCAGGCCAAUGCAGCUGCUCACUCGAAUGCUUCAGCCACACUUCCGGUGCCCGGCUUGUGGGGACUAUAGAGACAGAGGCUGCCAGCACCAGUAAACAGAUGCUCUGGCCAUGGCUACUCAGAUGAGCUUGGUGUCAGCAGCAGAAGGAAGGAGGCCUUGCUGACACAGCGACCCUGAGAGCUGUGGCCAUGGUGUUUCCAGGGUAGCAACACCAUACCUUCCUUCUGCUCCCUUCUAGGAAAGCCUGGGUUGUCUGGGUUCCAGGGAGGGGGCGGGGCAUAUUUAAACAGGGUGGCCCUGGGGUUUGAGACCUCCCCCCUCCCCAUUGCCCGCCCACCACAGGCACAGGCACAGGUGAAAAGCAGGAGAGAAAGAGAUUCUGGGGGCAGCUUAGCAAUGUGUAAUGAAAUUCGAACUGUGACAGGAGUCGGUCGCUUCUGGGAAUUGACACCAAGGAAAUAAUAGUGAGUUCAUACAAGGUGUGUGCACCAGGACGCCGAAUCUCUGCCUCCUGCAGGGCUGAUACUGCUCUUAGAGACUGGAGCAGUCACACAAUGGAGAACUUGUAUGCUGUUCACACAGUGUGGAAUUAUCAAUAAAGCUGCCAAGAGCACAUGUCCUUUAG
ensembl:lncRNA